rnacentral:rRNA from 1 species
GCGAACGCUGGCGGCAGGCUUAACACAUGCCGGUCGAGCGGGCAUCCUUGUGGUGUCAGCGGCAGACGGGUGAGUAACGCGUGGGAACGUGCCCUUCGGUUCGGAAUAACUCAGGGAAACUUGAGCUAAUACCGGAUACGUGCGAGAGCAGAAAGGUUUAUCUGCCGAAGGAUCGGCCCGCGUCUGAUUAGCUAGUUGGUGAGGUUACGGCUCACCAAGGCGACGAUCAGUAGCUGGUCUGAGAGGAUGAUCAGCCACACUGGGACUGAGACACGGCCCAGACUCCUACGGGAGGCAGCAGUGGGGAAUAUUGGACAAUGGGGGCAACCCUGAUCCAGCCAUGCCGCGUGAGUGAUGACGGCCUUAGGGUUGUAAAGCUCUUUUCUCCGGGACGAUAAUGACGGUACCGGAGGAAUAAGCCCCGGCUAACUUCGUG